UAACUGAAGAGUUUGAUCAUGGCUCAGAUUGAACGCUGGCGGCAGGCUUAACACAUGCAAGUCGAGCGGGCGAGGUUGCUUCGGUAACUGAGCUAGCGGCGGACGGGUGAGUAAAGCUUAGGAAUCUGCCUAUUAGUGGGGGACAACAUUCCGAAAGGGAUGCUAAUACCGCAUACGUCCUACGGGAGAAAGCAGGG
rnacentral:ncRNA from 1 species